rnacentral:rRNA from 1 species
GGAAGCUUAGAAGGGCGUAUGGUGGAUGCCUAGGCUCUUGGAGUAGACGAAGGACGUGGUAAGCUGCGAAAAGCCCGGGGGAGGUGCAAACGACCCUUGAUCCCGGGAUGUCCGAAUGGGGUAACCCAUCCAGAUGAAGUCUGGAUAUCCCGUUAAGCGGGAGUGUAACCCGGGGAACUGAAACAUCUAAGUACCCGGAGGAGUAGAAAAUAAUAAUGAUUCCGUGAGUAGUGGCGAGCGAAAGCGGAGGAGCCCAAACCGUACCGAAGUAUCUGUACGGGGUUGUAGGACCCGAGAUAUGAAUGUAAACUGAAUGAGAACACAACUGGAAAGUUGGACCAUAGAAGGUGAUAGUCCUGUAUUGGUAAGGUUUGCAGGAGUUAGGGUAUCCUGAGUAGGGCGGGACCGGAGAAAUCCUGCUUGAAACUGCCGGCACCAUCCGGUAAGGCUAAAUACUACCAAGAGACCGAUAGUGAACCAGUACUGUGAAGGAAAGGUGAAAAGAACCCCGGGAAGGGGAGUGAAAAGAACCUGAAACCAUGCGCCUACAAGCGGUCGGAGUCAUGGGCGACUAUGAUGACGGCGUGCCUUUUGCAUAAUGAUCCUACGAGUUACUCCUCACCGGCGAGCUUAAGUACUUCAGGUACGGAGGCGGAGCGAAAGCGAGUCUGAACAGGGCGGCAGUCGGUGGGGGUAGACGCGAAACCAUGUGAUCUACCCAUGGGCAGGUUGAAGGUGCGAUAGUCUCGCACUGGAGGACCGAACCGGUAAACGUUGAAAAGUUUUCGGAUGACCUGUGGGUAGGGGUGAAAGGCCAAUCAAACUUGGAGAUAGCUCGUACUCCCCGAAAUGCAUUUAGGUGCAGCGUCGGGUAGAGGUGUCAUGGAGGUAGAGCUACCAAUAGGGCUAGGGGGCUUCACCGCCUACCAACCCCUGAUGAACUCCGAAUGCCAUGACAUUAUACCGGCAGUGAGGCUAUGGGUGCUAAGGUCCAUGGCCGAGAGGGGAACAACCCAGACCAACAGCUAAGGUCCCUAAAUUGAUAUUAAGUUGAAAAGAACGAUGUGAGGAUGCAUUGACAGCUAGGAUGUUUGCUUGGAAGCAGCAAUUCAUUUAAAGAGUGCGUAACAGCUCACUAGUCGAGCGUUCUUGCGCGGAAAAUAAUCGGGCAUCAAAUAUCAUACCGAAGCUUUGGAUUCAGAUUAAACUGACUGGUAGGGGAGCAUUCCAAACUAUGUUGAAGGUGAGCUGUGAGGCUUGCUGGAGUGUUUGGAAAAGCAAAUGUAGGAAUGAGUAACGAUAAACCAGGUGAGAAACCUGGUCGCCGUAAGACUAAGGAUUCCGGGAUCUAUGGUAAUCAGAACCGGGUUAGUCGGGUCCUAAGGUGUAGCCGAGAGGCGAAGCCGAUGGGGAACAGGUUAAUAUUCCUGUACAUGUGUUAUCUGUGAUGGGGUGACGAAGGAGCGUAAGGUUCGCCAACUGACGGAAUAGUUGGUUAAAGGGUAAAGGUGCUGAGAGUACAGGCAAAUCCGUACUUGAGCUGAAGCCUGAUAGUACAUGAGUCUUUAGGGACGAGUGAUAGUGACCGUGAGCAAACUUCCGAGAAAAACCUCUAAACUUCAGGGUAACACAUCCCGUACCGUAAACCGACACAGGUAGUCGAGGAGAGUAUCCUAAGGCGCUCGAGUGAUCCGUGGCUAAGGAACUAGGCAAAAUGGUCUCGUAACUUCGGGAGAAGAGACUCCAACGCAAGUUGGACGCAGUGAAGAGGCCCAGGCGACUGUUUAACAAAAACACAGGACUCUGCGAAAUCGUAAGAUGAAGUAUAGGGUCUGACACCUGCCCGGUGCUGGAAGGUUAAGGAAGGUGCUUAGCGCAAGCGAAGGUAUUGACUGAAGCCCCAGUAAACGGCGGCCGUAACUAUAACGGUCCUAAGGUAGCGAAAUUCCUUGUCGGGUAAGUUCC